GGAUGGGUGGCAGAGUGGUUGAAUGCACUGGUCUUGAAAACCAGCGGGCGUGUGAGCGUCCCGGGGGGUUCGAAUCCCUCCCCAUCCGCCA
rnacentral:tRNA from 1 species